AGCAAAUCAAUUUUCUAUGCAUGAUGAUGAAAUAAUAGAAGCUAGAGCUUUUCAUGGAAAAUUGGAGAUUGCAGUAGUUAAAUGUUUAGGGUAAAACUAACAAAACCAGGAUAGUGAACUACAUAGCCCCAUCCAGUCAAAUUCUCAUAAGGAUAAGCUCAAGUCUAAGUUUUAGACUUAUUUUCUUAAAAAGCCAAGCUCAAGUCUAAUUUUUAGGCUCGUUUAAUAAACAAGUCAAGCCUGAGCUCACACUAAUAAUGGGCUUCUUAAGACUUGCGAGCCAGCUUGUGAGCUAGCUUGUUUAACAGGCUCAUGAGCAAACUUGUUAACUUAGUUUAUUAAGUGAAAAUGUA
rnacentral:misc_RNA from 1 species